ACAUGGCCUAGACCUGAGUCUUAAGAGAGAGAGAUCAGUCUUUUAACACUCACCACAAGGUCUGCCCAAGAAAGGAUUCUAGUGACACCAGGCCAGCAUCAUCUCAGCUGCUUUCACCAGCUCCCUCCUCCAUCUGAAUGUUUCAGAAUCAGUCCUUCCUCAAUCUGAAUGUUUCAGAAUCAGUCCUUCCUCAAUCUGAAUGUUUCAGAAUGAGUCCUCCUCAAUCUGAAUGUUUCAGAAUUGACUUUCUCAAUCUGAAUGUUUCAGAAUGAUGACCUCCAGCUCUUCUUUGAGCUGUUAUUUUUAAGGGCAAAAUCUCCUAUGUCACCUCCCCUAAGUUCUUCCAUCUACCAAUCACUGUAGAUGUUUUCCAAAAGACAGCCCAUUUUGAAUUCACAGCUGAGUAGAUUAAUCUCUUUAGUAAGUCAGAAAAAAAUGCUGCUGUGUUGACUAAUUUCAUUAAGAGAAAACCUCUGAGUAAGUUUUCACCUUUUAGGCCUAAGUAGUUGCCCCACCUUUAUAGGCACUUAGCAUCCCAUUGUAUCAAUUCCAAAAAUAGGCAUGGCUCAAAGAACUCCUUUCCUUUAUAAGUAUGGUUUUCAAGUACCUUAAUUGUUUAGCAAGGAGUUUUCUGCCCUAAAGCAUUCUUAAGUAUGGGUGGAAUAGAUGUCCUCCCAUAGCAAGGAGUUUUCUCCCCUAAAGAAGUCCCAAGUAGGGAUGGGGUAGAGAUCCUCCCAUAGCAAGGAGUUUUCACAUUCAAGUAGAGUGCUCACUAUCUGGUAGGGAAUUAUUUCAAGUAGGAAAUUGGAGGAUUCCUCAAUGUGGAGUAAAAUUUUUAACAUUCAUAAGUCUAUGAAAUUUUAAGGUUUACAAUGAUAACAUAGGUAAUAUACUUUCAAUGACCUAUGAAAUAAUAUAAUGAAGGGGAAGAAACAGUGAAUGGAUUAUGAACUUUACCAAUGGAGAUAGUACCCCAAAUCAUUGAGAUCAAGCUAUUUAUAUAAUAAAAGAACAUUCUUUUGAUGGAGCUAUAUAAAU
rnacentral:lncRNA from 1 species